AGUGAACGCUGGCGGCAGGCCUAACACAUGCAAGUCGAGCGGCAGCGCGGGGGCAACCCUGGCGGCGAGCGGCGGACGGGCGAGGAAUUCGUCGGAAUCUGCCUUUUUGUGGGGGAUAACGUAGGGAAACUUACGCUAAUACCGCAUACGUCCUACGGGAGAAAGUGGGGGACCGCAAGGCCUCACGCAGAAAGAUGAGCCGACGACCGAUUAGCUAGUUGGUGGGGUAAAGGCCCACCAAGGCGACGAUCGGUAGCUGGUCUGAGAGGAUGAUCAGCCACACUGGGACUGAGACACGGCCCAGACUCCUACGGGAGGCAGCCGUGGGGAAUAUUGGACAAUGGGCGCAAGCCUGAUCCAGCCAUGCCGCGUGUGUGAAGAAGGCCUUCGGGUUGUAAAGCACUUUUGUCCGGAAAGAAAUCCCUGGAGCUAAUACCUUCGGGGGAUGACGGUACCGGAAGAAUAAGCACCGGCUAACUUCGUG
rnacentral:rRNA from 1 species